ensembl:snoRNA
UAGCAAGCCUCCAGCGUGCUGGGGCCUGCCGUGACCCUGUGCAUUCCUACAGUGCUUGCUAGAACAGUUUUGAAACGGUUUGAGGCCUUGCCCUGCUCUAUCCAGAGCAAGGUUAUAGAAAUUUCAGACAAUC